UGGAAAGAUGACAUAGAGGAUAAGAUAAUGAUUAUUAUAGAUGAAAAAUAAAAAGUACAGCAAAAUGAUCUUAACAAAAUUAUUACCACAAGAAAAAGUGAAAGUAAGAAAAUUGUAAAAGGCACAACUACCAAACAUCCUUGGCACGUAUGAUCAAUUUGGUUUUACUUCAGAAGUAAUCUUCACAUUAUAAUUAAUUAAUUGAUUCAUUGUUACUCUUAACCAUGCAUUAUUACGUACUCGAAAUUAAGUUUUACCAAGAAAACACCAAAGUCCUCACAGCCCACUAGAAAAUGCAAGCCACUUAAUAAAGAGAGACAGUAAUUAUGAGAAAUGAGGACCCAAAAAGUGAAUCC
rnacentral:lncRNA from 1 species